rnacentral:lncRNA from 1 species
GGGCGGGCGCCAGGGGGCGCCGCCCGUCCCGGCCCCUCAGGGCGGGUCCCGCCGGACCCCCGGUGGGGAUUCCGCGGUGCCCGGCCCGGCUCUUCCCGCUCGCCUUCUUCCCGCACGGCCCCAGGACCCCUCGGCACCCCGCGACCUUCCCCGAGCCAAACAUGCGCCUGGGUCGCCGGCAGUAACGCGCAGAGCGCUGUGGAGUGGAAGCGAGAGCAGCAUCCCUCCCCGUGGCUCCCCAUGCACCGCGGUGCGGGGUACACGGACAUCGGAGUUUCCUGUGGGAAUAGUCCCUCAAAAAUCCUCCGUGUGAUGGCACGUGGCCAGGCAACAGCCGUGGAGAACCCCGCUUUGUCACAGCUGAUGACAGAAUCGCUGAGACACUGUUAGAUAAUGCCUCAAGCUUGGUGUUACAUUGGGAAACUCAUCCAGAAGCAGCUGGAUCCAUCCCUUCUCCCUCAGUCAGCAUAAAAGGAAAGCACCUGAGAUGUUCCAGCAGAGCAGUGCUAGAGAAAAUCCCUUUGUCCAGCAAUCAGACAACCAGGACUGGAGUCAGGACAAGUAAAAUAACAAGAACUGAUAGUAAAUCUCCUUGUCAGAGCUCAGAGAUUGGAUACAACCCAAGCAACAUGCACAAAUGGUGUGAUUUUACAGGAAUAUCCAGCUCAGAACCCCCUUGGUUCCCAUCCUUGCCAGCCUGGAGCUGCCCCACCAGCCUGGAACCCUUUGUGCCUGCGAGGUGUGAGCCUUGCAGGCAGCCAGCGAGGCAGAUGGUUGGGAAGCUCCCUUUUCUACAAAGAAUUUAUAAAUUUAGGAUUUUUUCGGCGCAACCCUGA